GUAACAAGGUUUCCGUAGGUGAACCUGCGGAAGGAUCAUUUAAGAAAAAAACUGUUUAUAAACAGACGGUAGACUUUUCUUGGGGAGAAGUUAUUGAUUGCUUUGGCCUGCGCUUAACUGCGCGGCUAGUAGUUGAUGAUUUUGUUAUUAUCCGAGACGAAGGAAACGUCUGAUUUUAAAAACAUUCUACACUUUGGAGUACUUUUUUAUUAAUGUAUUUCUUCCUUGGACGAGCAAUUGUUCAAGGGUUAAUAAACACAAACAAUUUUUUUUUUAAUUUUUAAAACAAUUCAAAAAUAUAUCAUUUCUUUUAUUAGAAAUAUAAAAAUUUUAAAACUUUCAACAACGGAUCUCUUGGUUCUCGCAUCGAUGAAGAACGUAGCGAAUUGCGAUAAGUAAUGUGAAUUGCAGAUUUUCGUGAAUCAUUGAAUUUUUGAACGCACAUUGCGCCCUUUGGUAUUCCAAAGGGCAUGCCUGUUUGAGCGUCAUUUCCUUCUCAAAAGAGUUUUUUUAUUCUUUUGGUUGUGAGUGAUACUUUUUCCUUUUACAGGGAAGGGGUUAACUUGAAAUUGUUGCUUAGCAAAGAAGAAUUUUGAUUAAAAUUUCUUGUUUAUUACUAUUAGGUUUAUCCCAACUAGUGAUUAUUGAGAGUUUUUAUUACAGAGUCUUUUCACUUUUGCUAUAAUACUAUUCUAUAAGUUUGACCUCAAAUCAGGUAGGAAUACC
rnacentral:rRNA from 1 species